GGAAGUAAAAGUCGUAACAAGGUUUCCGUAGGUGAACCUGCCUGUUUGAGUGUCAUGAAAUCUUCAAUCUACAAACUUUUUAUGGGGUUUGUAGGCUUGGACCUUUGGAGGCUUGUCGGUCCCUUUACAGGUCGGCUCCUCUUAAAUGCAUUAGCUUGGUUCCUUGCGGAUCGGCUUGUCGGUGUGAUAAUGUCUACGCCGCGACCGUGAAGCGUGUUUGGGCGAGCUUCUAACCGUCUCGUUACAGAGACAACUUUUAUGACCUCUGACCUCAAAUCAGGUAGGACUACCCGCUGAACUUAAGCAUAUCAAUAAGCGGAGGA
rnacentral:rRNA from 1 species